rnacentral:rRNA from 1 species
GAUGAACGCUGGCGGCGUGCUUAACACAUGCAAGUCGAACGGAAAGGCCCUGCUUGCAGGGUACUCGAGUGGCGAACGGGUGAGUAACACGUGGGUGAUCUGCCCUGUACUUUGGGAUAAGCCUGGGAAACUGGGUCUAAUACCGAAUAUGACAAUUGUUUGGGUGCGAUUGUGGAAAGCUUUUGCGGUAUGGGAUGAGCUCGCGGCCUAUCAGCUUGUUGGUGGGGCAAUGGCCUACCAAGGCGUCGACGGGUAGCCGGCCUGAGAGGGUGUACGGCCACAUUGGGACUGAGAUACGGCCCAGACUCCUACGGGAGGCAGCAGUGGGGAAUAUUGCACAAUGGGCGCAAGCCUGAUGCAGCGACGCCGCGUGGGGGAUGACGGCCUUCGGGUUGUAAACUCCUUUCGCAACCGACGAAGCCUUUUGGUGACGGUAGGUUGAGAAGAAGCACCGGCUAACUACGUG